GCCCAGAUAGCUCAGUUGGUAGAGCAAAGGACUGAAAAUCCUUGUGUCGGUAGUUCGAUUCUACCUCUGGGCACCA
rnacentral:tRNA from 6 species